UACGGAGGGUGCGAGCGUUAUUCGGAAUUACUGGGCUUAAAGCGCAUGUAGGCGGUUUGGUAAGUCGGAUGUGAAAUCCCUGGGCUUAACCUGGGAAUGGCAUUCGAUACUGCCAGGCUAGAGUAGGAUAGAGGAGAGGGGAAUGCCGCGUGUAGCAGUGAAAUGCGUAGAUAUGCGGAGGAACACCAAUGGCGAAGGCAGCUCUCUGGGUCCAUACUGACGCUGAGAUGCGAAAGCGUGGGGAGCAAACAGG
rnacentral:rRNA from 1 species